CCUACGGGAGGCAGCAGUGGGGAAUAUUGGGCAAUGGGCGCAAGCCUGACCCAGCAACGCCGCGUGAAGGAAGAAGGCUUUCGGGUUGUAAACUUCUGUUCUCAGGGACGAAGAAAGUGACGGUAUCUGAGGAAUAAGCCACGGCUAACUACGCGCCAGCAGCCGCGGUUAUACGUAGGGGGCAAGCGUUAUCCGGAUUUAUUGGGUGUAAAGGGCGUAUAGGGGGGGGCGCGAGGCAGAUGUGAAAACACAGGGCUCAACCCUGGGCAUGCAUUUGAAACUGUGUUUCUUGAGUGCUGGAGAGGCGAUCGGAAUUCCGUGUGUAGCGGUGAAAUGCGUAGAUAUACGGAGGAACACCAGUGGCGAAGGCAGAUUGCUGGACCGUAACUGACGCUGAGGCGCGAAAGCGUGGGGAGCAAACAGGAUUAGAUACCCCUGUAGUC
rnacentral:rRNA from 1 species